rnacentral:rRNA from 1 species
AACGAACGCUGGCGGCAGGCCUAACACAUGCAAGUCGAACGAAGCCUUCGGGCUUAGUGGCGGACGGGUGAGUAACACGUGGGAACGUACCUUUUGGUUCGGAAUAACGCAGAGAAAUUUGCGCUAAUACCGAAUGAGCCCUUCGGGGGAAAGAUUUAUCGCCGAAAGAUCGGCCCGCGUUGGAUUAGGUAGUUGGGGUGGUAAAGGCGCACCAAGCCUACGAUCCAUAGCUGGUCUGAGAGGAUGAUCAGCCACACUGGGACUGAGACACGGCCCAGACUCCUACGGGAGGCAGCAGUGGGGAAUCUUGCGCAAUGGGCGAAAGCCUGACGCAGCCAUGCCGCGUGAAUGAUGAAGGUCUUAGGAUUGUAAAAUUCUUUUACCAGGGACGAUAAUGACGGUACCUGGAGAAAAAGCCCCGGCUAACUUCGUGCCAGCCGCCGCCGUAAAAC